rnacentral:rRNA from 1 species
UCAAGCUACAAAGAGCACAAGGGGAAUGCCUUGGCACCGAGAGCCGAAGAAGGACGUGACUAACUGCGAUAAGCUGCGGGGAGCCGUAAGUAGGCUUUGAUCCGCAGAUUUCCGAAUGGAGCAAUCCGGCAAGAGGAAAGUCUUGUCAUCAUAUACUGAAUACAUAGGUAUAUGAGGGGAACCGCCUGAACUGAAACAUCUAAGUAGGGCGAGGAAGAGAAAUCAACUGAGAUUCCGUAAGUAGUGGCGAGCGAACGCGGAAGAGGCCAAACCGAGAGUAGUAAUACUUUCGGGGUUCGGACAGAAAACGGUAUUGUAAAGGUUUAGUGGAAUGGAAUGGGAAGUCCAACCGAAGAAGGUGAGAGUCCUGUACACGAAAAGCCUGAACAGCCAUCUGUAUCCAGAGUACCGCCGGACACGUGAAACCCGGUGGGAAUACGGGGGGACCAUCCUCCAAGCCUAAAUACUACUCGGUGACCGAUAGUGAAGAAGUACUGUGAAGGAAAGGUGAAAAGUACCCCUGACGGGGAGUGAAAAAGAACCUGAAACCUUGUGUUUACAAGCACCGAAAGCUCAUCAAAGAGCGAUCGGGUACCUUUUGUAGAAUGGUCCGGCGAGUGAAUGUAACCGGCGAGGUUAAGCACUUAAGGUGUGAAGCCGCAGCGAGAGCAAGUCUGAAUAGGGCGUAUGAAGUCGGUUGUAUUCGACCCGAAACCGGGUGACCUACCCAUGGUCAGGUUGAAGUAAAGGUAAAACUUUAUGGAGGACCGAACCGACUCCCGUUGAAAUGGUAGCGGAUGAACUGUGGGUAGCGGAGAAAUUCCAAUCGAACCCGGAGAUAGCUGGUUCUCCCCGAAAUAGUUUUAGGACUAGCCUCAAGUUAGAUACCUGGAGGUAAAGCACUGAAUAGCCUAGCGGCCGAGAGGUUAGCGAAGCUUAUCAAACUCAGAAUGCCAGAGUAUUGAUGCUUGGGAGUCAGACAGUGUCAGAUAAAUGUCAUUGUCAAAAGGGAAACAGCCCAGAUCUACAGCUAAGGUCCCAAAGUCAGGUUAAGUGGAAAACGAUGUGAAGAUACGCAGACAACCAGGAUGUUGGCUCAGAAGCAGCCACUCAUUCAAAGAGUGCGUAAUAGCUCACUGGUCGAGCGUCUUUGCGCGGAGAAUUUAACGGGGCUAAACCUGACACCGAAGCUUAGGCAAUGCACGUAAGUGUAUUGGGUAGGGGAGCGUUGUAUACGCGGAGAAACAGUAGCGCAAGCGGCUGUGGAGUGUAUAGAAGUGAGAAUGCCGGAAUGAGUAGCGCGAAUGCAGUGAGAAUCUGCAUGGCCGAAAGCCUCAGGUUUUUGGAGGAAGGUUCGUCCGCUCCAAGUUAGGCGGGAGCUAAGGUGAGGCCGAAAGGCGUAGCCGAUGCACAGACGGUAGAGAUUCCGUCACCACCAAAAGAGUUAAGCACAGGGACACAUAUGAAGUCUCAGAGCCGGGUGUUGGUUCCGGUAGAGAUCGAGGGAAGUUAGUACCGAAGUCUGGGAUGGAAGAUGGCGAGAAAAGCUGUGUGUAUUUCUGAGGUGCCCGUACCGCAAACCGACACAGGUAGGUAGGAAGAAGAUUCUAAGGCCAACGGGAGAAGGGUUGUUAAGGAACUCGGCAAAUUGACCCCGUAACUUCGGGAGAAGGGGUGCUCCAGAGAUGGAGCCGCAGAGAAUCGGCCCAAGCAACUGUUUACCAAAAACACAGGUUUGUGCUAAAUCGAAAGAUGACGUAUACGAGCUGACGCCUGCCCGGUGCUGGAAGGUUAAGAGGAGAUGUGCAAGCAUUGAAUCGAAGCCCCAGUGAACGGCGGCCGUAACUAUAACGGUCCUAAGGUAGCGAAAUUCCUUGUCAGGUAAGUUCUGACCCGCACGAAAGGUGUAACGAUUUGGGCGCUGUCUCGGCAGCAGACUCGGUGAAAUCUUAGUACCUGUGAAAAUGCAGGUUACCCGCAACUAGACGGAAAGACCCCAUGGAGCUUUACUGCAGCCUGAUAUUGAAUUCUGGUCAUACAUGUACAGGAUAGGUGGGAGACAAAGAGACGUGCACGCCAGUGUACGAGGAGUCGACGUUGGGAUACCACUCUUGUGUGACCGGGGUUCUAACCUGGUAUCGAGAACAGGUACGGGGAGAGUGUCAGGUGGGCAGUUUGACUGGGGCGGUCGCCUCCCAAAGAGUAACGGAGGCGCCCAAAGGUACGCUCAGAUUGGAUGGAAACCAAUCGUCGAGUGCAAUUGCAGAAGCGUGCUUGACUGUGAGACAGACAAGUCGAACAGGGACGAAAGUCGGGAAUAGUGAUCCGGCGGUGCCGAAUGGAAGGGCCGUCGCUCAACGGAUAAAAGCUACCCUGGGGAUAACAGGCUGAUCUCGCCCAAGAGUUCACAUCGACGGCGAGGUUUGGCACCUCGAUGUCGGCUCAUCGCAUCCUGGAGCUGGAUUCGGUUCCAAGGGU